GUAAAAUUCAGUAAUUGUAAAAUUUGAUAAGCAAUUCUGAUAAUUUACUAGUAAUCACUUACACAUUUUUUAUUGGUGAAGCCGUAAAUCACCCUAUUGAAUUUUGUCCUUUGAUAUUUAAGCAACAGAUUACCUAUUACUAAAACAUAUACUGUAUCUCCUACAACUUUUUCCCCCCCUCUGGAAGUAUUUGUAAAGAAUGAAUUUAAUUUAAUUUAAUUUUUUUUCAUUUGUUUUUAUUGAAGUUCGAUUUGCCAAAAUAUAGUAUAACAUCCAGUGCUCAUCCCAUCAAGUGCCUCAUCAGUGCCCAUCACCCAGUUACCCCAAGAAUUUAAUUUUAAAUUUAAGAAUGCUUUACUUUGCUUUUUUAUCCAUUAAUAUUUUAGUGAUACAAGUAUGAUAUUGGUAACAAUGUAGAAUUCAUCAGAAAAAUGUUGGGAUUUUUCCCACGGGAAAAACAUGAGAAACAAUUGAAAUGUAAGUAAUUGAAAUGUAAAAAAAAUGGAAAGGAAACCAGUUGAAUUAGUUUAGAACAGCUGCCACUGAACAGAGAACAGAGCAAGCUCCUUCAGAGAGAUUUAGAGCAUUCUUUCAUCUCUUCUUUUUAUUUUUUUAUAUAUUUUUCAACAACAGAUGGAUUAGGACUAGCUGUGUCCCCAUGCAUGAAUGUUUUAUAUAGCUAUCAGGUAGUCUCCUAGAAACAAUUGAAAAGUUACAAGAUCCUACUUAACUUGAAGAGUCAUCAGGGUGAGUUUCUUGAAAAGUUUUGAUACCUAAGAUUCUGACUUCUGAAAUCACAGAAUUUUAUUUAAAGAUAAUUUUCUAAUGUCAAAAAGUAAGAUGAAGUGACCUACAUAGAGAGCUGUGAUAUUUCAUGUAAGUCCAAUACUUUGGUUAGCAAAAAUAAGAAAUUUUAAUAGACUAGCAAAAUGUUAUAAUCAGCCAUUGAAACAACAUGCUUGAUAGCUUUUAAAUAUUUCCAUGAGUGAAUGAAUGAAUUUUUGGAGAUUUAUGUAGUUGCUAUUUAAAUAAGUUAAAUUU
rnacentral:lncRNA from 1 species